rnacentral:rRNA from 1 species
CCUACGGGAGGCAGCAGUGGGGAAUAUUGGACAAUGGGCGAAAGCCUGAUCCAGCAAUGCCGCGUGAGUGAUGAAGGCCUUAGGGUUGUAAAGCUCUUUUACCAGGGAUGAUAAUGACAGUACCUGGAGAAUAAGCUCCGGCUAACUCCGUGCCAGCAGCCGCGGUAAUACGGAGGGAGCUAGCGUUGUUCGGAAUUACUGGGCGUAAAGCGUGCGUAGGCGGUUAUUCAAGUCAGAGGUGAAAGCCCGGGGCUCAACCCCGGAACGGCCUUUGAAACUAGAUAGCUAGAAUCUUGGAGAGGUUAGUGGAAUUCCGAGUGUAGAGGUGAAAUUCGUAGAUAUUCGGAAGAACACCAGUGGCGAAGGCGACUAACUGGACAAGCAUUGACGCUGAGGCACGAAAGCGUGGGGAGCAAACAGGAUUAGAUACCCUGGUAGUCCACGCCGUAAACGAUGAUAACUAGCUGUUCGGGCACUUGGUGCCUGGAGUGGCGCAGCUACGCAUAAGUUAUACCGUCCGUCGGGUAGGUACGGUCGCGAAGAAGUUAAAACGUUUAAAGUUAAGUAAGUUAAGUACGGUACGUUGAGUACGUUGCCGAACGGACGACGACGAGGGAGGAGG